CAGUAGCCGCGGGAAAACGAAGGGUGCAAGCGUUACUCGGAAUUACUGGGCGUAAAGCGUGCGUAGGUGGUGGUUUAAGUCCGUUGUGAAAGCCCUGGGCUCAACCUGGGAAUUGCAGUGGAUACUGGGUCACUAGAGUGUGGUAGAGGAUAGUGGAAUUUCCGGUGUAGCGGUGAAAUGCGUAGAGAUCUGGAGGAAUACCGAUGGCGAAGGCAGCCAUCUGGCCUAAUACUGACGCUGAGGUACGAAAGCAUGGGGAGCAAACAGGAUUAGAUACCCCGGUAGUCCCUGUCUCUUAUAC
rnacentral:rRNA from 1 species